rnacentral:lncRNA from 10 species
UUUUUGUUUUUGUUUUUUUUUCCUGUAGAGAUAAGGUCUCCCAGUGUUGCCCAGGCUGGUCUUAAACUCCUGGGCUCAAGCAGUCCUCCUGCCUUGAUGUCCCAAGGUUUCGGGAUUAGAGGCAUGAGCCAAUGUGCCCAGCUUUAUUUAUUUAUUUACUCUCAGCUAUUAUUUUUCCUUCUGUCCAUUAAUACCCAAACCUUUUCACCUUUGGAAGGGACAUUAGAAUCACCACUAUGCUGGUCUAGAUUGCAGGUAGCAAUACAAGUCUAGCAAGUAUCUCCUCCUCAAUACAGGUCUAGCAAGUAUCUCACUCCCAUUCACAUAGGGUAAGGUUACACAGGUACAGAACUAGUGAGCUCUUUUCAACACCAGGCAAUAUAGCUGCAUUCACUCUUAGCCCCAAUUUUGCUAGAUGGGGUGAAGGCACAAUCCACCCCCAUCUGCCCUUAGAAAUUUUGACAUAGCUUUAAAAACAUAGGCUUUUUUGCCUAGAACUCACCCUUGCUGUUCUAGCACUUGUAGUUGCAGCUGUGGUCUUGGGACCACCGCAUCAGGUAGGGGAGAGAAAAAAAAAUUUUUUUUUUUCUU